UACAGAGGGUGCGAGCGUUAAUCGGAAUUACUGGGCGUAAAGCGUGCGUAGACGGUCAUUAUAUCGGGUGUGAAAGCCCCGGGCUCAACCUGGGAAUUGCAUUGAGACUGAUAGCUAGGGUGCGGUAGAGGGAAGCGGAAUUUCCGGUGUAGCGGUGAAAUGCGUAGAUAUCGGAAGGAACACAGUGGCGAAAGCGGCUUCCUGGACCAGCACCGACGUCAGGCACGAAAGCGUGGGGAGCAAACAGG
rnacentral:rRNA from 1 species